ACAAACCCGCUUUUUGAGUGACAAAUUAUAAGGGACGGAGGAAGUAGCUUGCGACUGAUCAGCACACAAUAUCACUGUCAACGUGUCAGCUAGCGCCUAGCAGUAAUUGGCUCUCCUGACCUUGCACGCGGAUCAAUGGCACUCUGGCGCUGGGCUUUUGUUUCUUAAAGCAACCGAUCGCGUCGCUGUUCGUUUGAACACCACAACAAGUCGCGGGUUACCGUGGAAUGAG
rnacentral:lncRNA from 1 species